UACAGAGGUCUCAAGCGUUGUUCGGAUUCAUUGGGCGUAAAGGGUGUGUAGGUGGCGCGCUAAGUCGGGUGUGAAAUUUCGGAGCUUAACUCCGAAACUGCAUUCGAUACUGGCGUGCUUGAGGACUGGAGAGGAGACUGGAAUUUACGGUGUAGCAGUGAAAUGCGUAGAUAUCGUAAGGAAGACCUGCGGCGAAGGCGGCCUGCUGGGCAGUGGGAUCGAAAGGUCCCUUCAACCGACACUGAGGCGCGACAGCGUGGGGAGCAAACAGG
rnacentral:rRNA from 1 species